rnacentral:rRNA from 1 species
UACGUAGGGGGCUAGCGUUGUCCGGAAUCAUUGGGCGUAAAGAGCGUGUAGGCGGCCCGGUAAGUCCGCUGUGAAAGUCGGGGGCUCAACCCUCGAAUGCCGGUGGAUACUGUCGGGCUAGAGUGCGGAAGAGGCGAGUGGAAUUCCUGGUGUAGCGGUGAAAUGCGCAGAUAUCAGGAGGAACACCAAUUGCGAAGGCAGCUCGCUGGGACGUAACUGACGCUGAGAACGCGAAAGCGUGGGGAGCAAACAGG